CCCGAAAGAUCGAACGGGGAGAUUCACCGUCAGCGGGGUCGGCUUCGCCGCGGUCAGCGAUGCGCUGGACCACGAGUUCCGCGCACGCGGUCGCGUCGCGUUUAUGCCCGGUCACGUAGGCGUGCACUUCUCCCCUAGUAGGACGUCGCGACCCGUUGGGCGUCGGCAUAAGGCCCGUGAGAUAGCCUGUAGCGGCGUUCGCGCUCGUUACAGAUCCACGGUUGCCCGGCCUGCUGCCCGGCGGUACACGCACGGUAUUGAGCCGCAUCGAACAUGCGUCCAGUCCGUCGCAAGCGCGGUCAGCGAUACCCGGUGGUUCGGACCUAGCGCCGUCCCCGGGCCUGGCCAGCUGCUGGCAGACGGUAUCCUCGGACGGGCUCGCUCGCAUUGAUUACCGGUCGGCGACGCUACUGCUUUGGGUACUUUCA
rnacentral:rRNA from 1 species